UGAUAUUAUACAGGAGAAGAAAGUUUCACUUUCGCCGAAGGAGUUAUACUCUCAGGUAUCUCAAUUGAGAUGGGACUGUUUAAU
rnacentral:ncRNA from 2 species